UUGAGUAUAAGUUUUUUUUUUUUAUUGUGUUAACUGGAGAUAAAAUUAAAAAAACAAAGAAACAGAGAGGGUGAGAAGUAGAAGAGAAACAACAUAAUAAAGGAAAAAGAAAACAUAAGAUACAAACACCUUUGAGCUAUUGGUAUUCUAAAUCUCUUUAAUAUUAAUAUUCUAUAUAUAUCAUUUCGUUUUGCUAUUACAUUCAAAUAAAAAAUAAAAAAUAAAAACUAUGUUCAUAGUCUUCACACUUUAUUUGACAUGCUUAUUGUUAUUUUUUUUUCCCUUAAAUAUUCAACGUUAGAAACGUUAAGUCCAAAACAAAUAAAAGAAGAAUAAAAAUAUCAUAGAAAAGUUAUGAGAAACUAAAAGGAAAACAAACAAGAAGUAAAACAAACCAAAAAAAGGAAGACGAGGUUUGAGUCGUUGCCUCCGUUGGAACAACGAACGACCAUCGUCACUACCGCAUGCCGAUGUCGUGUUGUACUUCCUUGCUACCCAUGCCUCUGUAGCCUUCUUUUCUUUCUUUUUCUCUCUUCUUUACAUCUGCUCUCCACCUCUCUCUUUCUAUAUAUAUAUUUU
rnacentral:lncRNA from 1 species